GUCGUAACAAGGUUUCCGUAGGUGAACCUGCGGAAGGAUCAUUACCACACCGAUCCAAGAUCUUUGUCACCGUGAAGCUGUAGUCUCGUUCAAACACGGGCUCGUAAUUGGAGGGAUGUGUGUGGCUUUUACCGCUGCAGGCAUCCCUUCGGCUCGGCCUGUGGGACUACAAUCAUAAAGUGCUAGUGCUGGAAACAGCGCUGGUGCGAACCCCCGUCAAUUUACGACGUUCACUGGUCUUGACCCAACACACUGAACCUAAAAGGGUUGUCGCUGGUGGUCCGCUGGUCGGGUCAUUGGUGCAGCUCGACAAACUGUAAAAUCAUUACAACUUUCAGCGAUGGAUGUCUAGGUUCCCA
rnacentral:misc_RNA from 1 species